UACGUAGGGUGCAAGCGUUGUCCGGAAUUAUUGGGCGUAAAGAGCUCGUAGGCGGUCUGUUGCGUCCGCUGUGAAAACCCGGGGCUUAACCCCUGGCUUGCAGUGGAUACGGACAGACUAGAGGUAGGUAGGGGAGAAUGGAAUUCCCGGUGUAGCGGUGAAAUGCGCAGAUAUCGGGAGGAACACCGGUGGCGAAGGCGGUUCUCUGGGCCUUACCUGACGCUGAGGAGCGAAAGCGUGGGGAGC
rnacentral:rRNA from 1 species